GAUGAACGCUGGCGGCGUGCCUAAUACAUGCAAGUCGAGCGAACGGACGAGAAGCUUGCUUCUCUGAUGUUAGCGGCGGACGGGUGAGUAACACGUGGAUAACCUACCUAUAAGACUGGGAUAACUUCGGGAAACCGGAGCUAAUACCGGAUGAUAUUUUGAACCGCAUGGUUCAAAAGUGAAAGACGGUCUUGCUAUCACUUAUAGAUGGAUCCGCGCUGCAUUAGCUAGUUGGUAAGGUAACGGCUUACCAAGGCAACGACGCAUAGCCGACCUGAGAGGGUGAUCGGCCACACUGGAACUGAGACACGGUCCAGACUCCUACGGGAGGCAGCAGUAGGGAAUCUUCCGCAAUGGGCGAAAGCCUGACGGAGCAACGCCGCGUGAGUGAUGAAGGUCUUCGGAUCGUAAAACUCUGUUAUUAGGGAAGAACAUAUGUGUAAGUAACUGUGCACAUCUUGACGGUACCUAAUCAGAAAGCCACGGCUAACUACGUG
rnacentral:rRNA from 1 species